GACGAACGCUGGCGGCAUGCCUAAUACAUGCAAGUCGAGCGAACAGAUGAAGUGCUUGCACUUCUGACGUUAGCGGCGAACGGGUGAGUAACACGUAAGGAAUCUACCUAUAAGCGGAGGAUAACAUUCGGAAACGGGUGCUAAUACCGCAUAAUAUCUUCUUCCGCAUGGAAGAAGAUUGAAAGACGGCUCUGCUGUCACUUAUCGAUGACCUUGCGGUGCAUUAGUUAGUUGGUGGGGUAAUGGCCUACCAAGACGAUGAUGCAUAGCCGACCUGAGAGGGUGAUCGGCCACAUUGGGACUGAGACACGGCCCAAACUCCUACGGGAGGCAGCAGUAGGGAAUCUUCCGCAAUGGGCGAAAGCCUGACGGAGCAAUGCCGCGUGAGUGAAGAAGGCCUUCAGGUCGUAAAACUCUGUUAUAAGAGAAGAACAAAUUGUAGAGUAACUGCUACAGUCUUGACGGUAUCUUAUCAGAAAGCCACGGCUAACUACGUGCCAGCCGCCGCCGUAA
rnacentral:rRNA from 1 species